CAGUCGCCACGGUAAUACAGAGGGUGCGAGCGUUAAUCGGAUUUACUGGGCGUAAAGCGUGCGUAGGCGGCUUCUUAAGUCGGAUGUGAAAUCCCUGAGCUUAACUUAGGAAUUGCAUUCGAUACUGGGAAGCUAGAGUAUGGGAGAGGAUGGUAGAAUUCCAGGUGUAGCGGUGAAAUGCGUAGAGAUCUGGAGGAAUACCGAUGGCGAAGGCAGCCAUCUGGCCUAAUACUGACGCUGAGGUACGAAAGCAUGGGGAUCAAACAGGAUUAGAUACCCGUGUAGUCCCUGUCUCUUAUAC
rnacentral:rRNA from 1 species